rnacentral:rRNA from 1 species
GAUGAACGCUGGCGGCGUGCCUAACACAUGCAAGUCGAACGGAGAUUACGGACGGAAGUUUUCGGAUGGAAGACUGUAAUUCUUAGUGGCGGACGGGUGAGUAACGCGUGGGCAACCUGCCCUAUACAGGGGGAUAGCAGCUGGAAACGGCUGGUAAGACCGCAUAAGUCGGCGAGACCGCAUGGUUUUGCCGGGAAAUGAGCAAUCAGGUAUAGGAUGGGCCCGCGUCCGAUUAGCCAGUUGGCAGGGUAAAAGCCUACCAAAGCAACGAUCGGUAGCCGGACUGAGAGGUCGGACGGCCACAUUGGGAUUGAGACACGGCCCAAACUCCUACGGGAGGCAGCAGUGGGGGAUAUUGCACAAUGGAGGAAACUCUGAUGCAGCGACGCCGCGUGAGUGAAGAAGUAUUUCGGUAUGUAAAGCUCUAUCAGCAGGGAAGAUGAUGACGGUACCUGACUAAGAAGCCCCGGCUAACUACGUG